rnacentral:lncRNA from 1 species
ACAUGACUUCAAACGUGUACCACUCAAGCUAAGACAACAAUGCUAGCAGAGGCGUGAGAGCGCUCCAGAAUGGGAGAAGGUUUGGGGUUACAGCUGAUGUCAAUCUUAUGUGAGUCGCACGUUCAUUGUAUCAUUAUCUUAAAAGAAAGCAUUAAAAGAAAGAGAAGAUUCACACUUGUAUGUUAAAUUUAAUGUUUAAAUAAAAGGUAAUAUGUCUCUAACCAGCGUUUUCUGUUCUUUUUGUGUUUCAGUUUGGGCUGGAGUUGUGACUAAAACAGGUGGAUCUAUUCCCAGGCCUCAGUUUACUGGGCCUAACAUGGCCUACGUCAAAUCUACACAAGUUUUUGAAUGUAAGCUGCCAGAGUGGACAUUACCUCUGACCUAUGAGCUCAUUAAAAGCCCUGGCGAGGUCCUUGAGACAGUAAUUGAUCCUCUGGGAGGCCAGCCAGUCACUUUCUAUCUGAGGGUCAACGAGAGGUCAAACGGACGGUAUAUGUGCAGAGUGAGAUUAAGAGGGCAAACCAGCACCAGCAACGCUGUGAACUUUCAAGUAUUCCUGUACAAGGUGUCCACUUAGUUCCCGAUCCUGACCCACCGGUCAUCUACGAGAUGUCAGGGUUUAACCUGCACUGUCGGGUCAGAAAGGGGACUCACCUCACUUACGUUUGGUACCACAACCAACAGGAGCUGAACUUACCCUCGGCCUUCCACCAGAUCUCUGAA